rnacentral:lncRNA from 1 species
CAAGCAUAGCUAAACUUUACUUCAACAUAAGGAAAAUUCAUUAUGCAAAUGAUAUAUGUUUGAAUUCAAAUCUCAUAUAUGUUGUAUUAUAGUCUUCUCUCCUACCUUCGGUAAGAAUAUAUGAACCACGGGAAUCAUAGAGUCAUGGAUCUUGAACUGCCAACCCGUGUUGAUUUGGGCUCUUCAGACAUGCCUUCUGGCCAUUGCCUGACCUGAACUUGACAUAUAUAUCACUUUGUCUACCUAUGUCCUGCUGACUAAUGUGUGUGCCUUGAUAACUUCUGCUUCAACUUAUCAGAUGGGUCUCAAAGACUGUGUAGGAUGUCAACGGGCAAAAAUGAUGGUGACAUUAGAAGGAAGGCGGAAGCUUCCUCUGGCAAUAAAGAUCGCCACAACAUGCACUCUGGAGCCCCAAAGGGGAGCAUCAUGUUCUCUGUCCUCCCAACUCCCACCACACCAGGAUGAUGGAUUCUCUGGCCAUGCAGAAAUGCUCAAGGCUUCCCUUUUUCAUUUUAUGAAUUCCUGUCCCCAGAAGAAUUGUGUUGAAUAGCAAUACUAAAGUUGCUCUUCAUGGUGAUACCUAUUACCAACUUAGAUCCAUAGGCUUCUUUAGCAGCCAUUUUACAGUUGAGGAAACUGAGGCAGAUAGAGGUUAAAUGGCAUGCUCAGGGUCACACAGUUAGUAUACAUCUUAAACCAAAUUCAAAUUCAGGUCUUCCUUAGUCCAGGCUCAGCACUUUAUCCACUGUACCACACAGCUGCCUCUUGGGAGACAAGAAUCAAAGGAAAGUGAAUACCUUAACCCUCAAUCCCCAUGGAAAUUUGAUUCUUGUCUUCUUGCUUGGAUCCCUCAGGGCAUGAGACUGACAGAUGCUGAUUUUCUAUUCUGUUAUAAAAAGGGUACAUAUGCAGAAAUUCCUUUUCCUCUGGUAUCUUCUCCCAGGUGAAGGAGACACACUUCUUAGUGGUGCAAUGGGACGAAUUCAUUCCACCAUGGUACCUGGGUUAUGACAUACCAGGAAAUGAAAAUGCAAUCUGAAAUAUGAAGUAUACGAAUAGAUUACAGGCAGAGCAGAGUGUUUCCCCUACUGAGGCUUCAGCUGUUGUGAUCAAUCAUUUUGCAGAUAUACAAAGCAGAAAAGAAAAUAAAAUUCUGGUCAGAUGAUCUGAUAUGCA